rnacentral:rRNA from 1 species
AGUGAACGCUGGCGGCGUGCCUAAUACAUGCAAGUCGAACGGAGUGGCACGCGGGUGGGUAAUGUAUAGCUAAUCUGCCCUACACUAGAGGACAACAGUUGGAAACGGAUGCUGAUACUCUAUAGUGUAGGAUGAGGCUGUAUUGUAUCAGCUAGGUGGUGAGGUAAUGGCUCACCAAGGGUAUGACCCACAACUGGUCUGAGCGGAUGAGCAGUCGACUUGGAACGGAGACACGGUCCGGGAUCCUACGGGAGGGAACAGUAGGGUAUAUUGCCCAAGGGGGGAAAGCCUGAAGCAGCAACGGAGCGUGGAGCAUGACACUUAUCGGAGCGUAAACUCCUUUGGUUAGGGAAGCGGUACCUAACGAAUAAGCACCGGCUAACUCCGUGCCAGCAGCCGCGGUAAUUC